GAUCUGUAUGUCAGCUCCCGGUCAGAGACCACCCUCUGAACACCCACUCCUGUUUUCUAGGGUAAAAUGCCGCAAGGGCAAGAAGAAAGAUAUUGCACAAAUUGCUGAAGCCACUGCCUGCUGGGGCUCCCGCCUGCAUUGUAGCCCUCACUUCACAAAGGAUUGGAAGCAUUCGUUCAUCAUCAAAGCCCAGGCAGAGUUUAUCGUGUACCAACAUCCACGUGAGAAACAUGUACUGGGCACCUGCGAGCCCCGGGGCAUUGUGAUAGACGCUGGAGAUACGAUGGUGAGCAGUCAGAGUCCCCCCCUUAGCCGAGUGAGUGGGAGAGGGGGCUAUGAAUGCGACGAUCAUACAUACACAUACUACUACAGACACAGUCAAGGUUCUCUGGAGUGGUAUUUUGACUACUUUUGGAGGAGGAACUGCCUGCAUCCAGUUGUCUGAAGAAGCCAGAGUUUUCUGUCCCUCUCUACCAAAAAAGCCCUCCAUGGACAAAUACGUGUGCAAAAUGCAGCCCUCGCCUGCAUUCCUUCAGGAUGUGCUGCAUUUAGCGAUUUGGAUUUAAGCAACGUGGGUUGCGGUGAAGAUGCACACAGGGAUGGAGCAAUGCGAAGGGGCAGAAGAUUGAAAAUUACUAGAAUCUGACAUUCUUCACGAUGACCCAAUGAAGUGGAUGUCACAUCGUUCCCAUCUUUUCAGAUGAAAAAGAGCUGGCAUGCUGGGUGAUUGGUCCAAAGGGUGAAAAAGAGCUGGCAUGCUGGGUGAUUUGGACCAAAGAUUGGUCCGAAAUAAGUUGGAAAACGUGUUUGAAUCCAACCAAAUUCCAGAGCUUCUCCUUGAUGAUGGCUGUCAUCAUGGAGAAUGAGAGUCUUGGCCUGUUCCAACUAGCUGGAAUUUCCAACCAGCCUUUAAAGAAGGGGGAGCUCCUCAGCAUGAAAUUACCCUAUAGGGUCUCAAUUUUGUUGAAAAAGGAAGUGAAUGCCUCGAAUUCCAAGUUGCAGCUUUUGGAAUUCUUGAGGCAUCCAAAGAAGUCUCCCAGGGUCCUUCCUGUUCGCUUUCUUUUCUAGGAGCUAAAGUAUGUCUGAUGCUAAAAUGAGUGUCGUAUACACUCUGGGGCCAUCCUGGCACACAGCCUGCCCUCCCUCAGUACCUCCCAGGCCACUUUGCUCCUUGUAGGGUCUUCUCACUCAAGCCCCGGGAUCUUCUAAUGGAACCCUAAGUUCCUAGUGCCUCCCACCUCUCUCUGGACGGUGACCAUGUGAGCAUCUCCUGACACCUGAUGCAUGCCUGAAUUAAUCCUAAUUUAGGUGACAACUGGUACUGUGCCCCUUGACUACUACUUUAUAGUUUUCAAAACACUUGAGCAGUUUAUGUCUUUCUGUAAGUGCUAUAAGCUCAGGAACCCCACAAAGUGGUUGAGUGGAAGUCAUGGUCAUUUUGCGAAUGGGGAAACUGAGGCACAAGUCACGUGCCCCACCAAUUGACGAUACAGUUCUGGCUCCUGGGACAGAAUUUCACCCACUCUAUCUGAGACACACUUUCCUUUUGUGAAAACUAUCAACCUCUCUGGCCCAUUAUCUUACAGAGGCCAUCAGGAGAGUUUAUAUUUAAAAAUUUAAUAAUCCAGAGAUUGGCAGAGGGAAAAAGGACAUUAAAAUAGAUGGGUCCACACACUUAUGCUUGUGGGUGACAAAGCCAAGGCUGGAGGGGUGAGCGAACUGUUCAAAGCCACACAGAGUUAGUGGCAGAACCGAAAUAGAAGGCAGGCCUCCAGUCUUGCCCAGAGCUUACCUCCCCAUGGCUGUGUGUCUCCUACCUGCUCUGUUCUCUGAGGAUGUAUGCCUGGGACCCAUAACCAAUGAGAGACAAUGAUGAUUGUAAUGACAAACUGAUCCUCGCUAUGUUCCUCCACGUUUGAGAGUUCAGUUGCCAUUAUCCCUCUAGCCUCUCUUCUAGGGGCUUCUGGAUAGCUCUUAUUUCAAUGUACCUUUUGGCUCCACCCCAGAAAAUCUGGCUCAGGAGAGCCCCAGGAAUGUACACUCCGACAAAUUGCCCAAGCGAUUCUGAUGACUAUGGUUCCAUAAGUUUAGGCCAGGCGUUAAGAAACUCUAACUUACUAACUUUAACGAUUGGGGUGGGAAAAAUGAUGGUUAGCUAACUGAAGGAACAAUUUACUCUUGUAGGGCUAACUCAGAGACCAGCCAUAAUGGUGACCAACAAUUGGUUAGGUGCACAUUAGCCAAAACCCGUGGUGUAUCAUAAAACAGAGACUCGUCCAAGGAGUCUGCUGUUCUGUUAGUAAGGGGCUCCUUCACUCAGCCAUCCCCGGGGAAAACCUGUCCUUUGUGCAAAUGCAAAGGGGGGCAUGACACCAGCCUUCUCCUGCUUUGACUAACGACCUAUCUCCCAAACCGGUCCAGUUUGCUUGGCUGAGGGCUCUGUUCUGUGCAUUGUUGGGUAGUUGAUGCAUACUGUUAUCCCUCUUGUAUUUGAUCUCCUAGGGUUGGGAUGCUAGACAGCCGCACCCGGCUUAAGAAAAAGAGGGCGAAGCUGUCAAGUUGCAAUAAUCCUAAAACGUGCUGAAGACAACCUGGAGCCAGAGAACGGCCCUAUCUUAUGCAUC